UGCAGCGACGCCGCGUGAGGGANGACGGCCUUCGGGUUGUAAACCUCUUUCAGUAGGGAAGAAGCGAAAGUGACGGUACCUGCAGAAGAAGCGCCGGCUAACUACGUGCCAGCAGCCGCGGUAAUACGUAGGGCGCAAGCGUUAUCCGGAAUUAUUGGGCGUAAAGAGCUCGUAGGCGGUUUGUCGCGUCUGCUGUGAAAGACCGGGGCUCAACUCCGGUUCUGCAGUGGGUACGGGCAGACUAGAGUGCAGUAGGGGAGACUGGAAUUCCUGGUGUAGCGGUGAAAUGCGCAGAUAUCAGGAGGAACACCGAUGGCGAAGGCAGGUCUCUGGGCUGUAACUGACGCUGAGGAGCGAAAGCAUGGGGAGCGAACAGGAUUAGAUACCCUGGUAGUCCAUGCCGUAAACGUUGGGCACUAGGUGUGGGGGACAUUCCACGUUUUCCGCGCCGUAGCUAACGCAUUAAGUGCCCCGCCUGGGGAGUACGGCCGCAAGGCUAAAACUCAAAGGAAUUGACGGGGGCCCGCACAAGCGGCGGAGCAUGCGGAUUAAUUCGAUGCAACGCGAAGAACCUUACCAAGGCUUGACAUGAACCGGAAAGACCUGGAAACAGGUGCCCCGCUUGCGGUCGGUUUACAGGUGGUGCAUGGUUGUCGUCAGCUCGUGUCGUGAGAUGUUGGGUUAAGUCCCGCAACGAGCGCAACCCUCGUUCUAUGUUGCCAGCGCGUUAUGGCGGGGANUCAUAGGAGACUGCCGGGGUCAACUCGGANGAAGGUGGGGACGACGUCNAAUCAUCAUGCCCCUUAUGUCUUGGGCUUCACGCAUGCUACAAUGGNCGGUACAAAGGGUUGCNAUACUGUGAGGUGAGCUAAUCCCAAAAAGCCGGUCNNCAGUUCGGAUUGGGUCUGCAACUCGACCNCANGAAG
rnacentral:rRNA from 1 species